GAAAUGCGAUAAGUAGUGUGAAUUGCAGAAUUCAGUGAAUCAUCGAAUCUUUGAACGCAGAUUGCGCCCCUCGGUAUUCCGUGGGGCAUGCCUGUUCGAGCGUCAUCUACACCCUCAAGCUCUGCUUGGUGUUGGGCGUCUGUCCCGCCUCCUUCGCGCGCGGACUCGCCCCAAAUCCAUUGGCGGCGGCCCUUGCCUCCCUCUCGCGCAGCACAUUGCGCUUCUCGAGGCGCGGCGGACCGCGUCCAGCAAGCAACCGUCACACCGUCUUUGACCUCGGAUCAGGUAGGGAUACCCGCUGUACUUAAGC
rnacentral:misc_RNA from 1 species